rnacentral:rRNA from 1 species
AGCAUAUCAAUAAGCGGAGGAAAAGAAACUAACAAGGAUUCCCCUAGUAACUGCGAGUGAAGCGGGAAAAGCUCAAAUUUAAAAUCUGGCAGUCUUUGGCUGUCCGAGUUGUAAUCUAGAGAAGUGUUAUCCGCGCUGGACCGUGUACAAGUCUCCUGGAAUGGAGCGUCAUAGAGGGUGAGAAUCCCGUCUUUGACACGGACUACCAGGGCUUUGUGAUACACUCUCAAAGAGUCGAGUUGUUUGGGAAUGCAGCUCAAAAUGGGUGGUAAAUUCCAUCUAAAGCUAAAUAUUGGCGAGAGACCGAUAGCGAACAAGUACCGUGAGGGAAAGAUGAAAAGAACUUUGGAAAGAGAGUUAAACAGUACGUGAAAUUGCUGAAAGGGAAACGCUUGAAGUCAGUCGCGUUGUCCAGGGAUCAACCUUGCUUUUGCUUGGUGUACUUUCUGGUUAACGGGUCAGCAUCAAUUUUGACUGUUGGAAAAAGAUUAGGGGAAUGUGGCAUCUUUGGAUGUGUUAUAGCCCUUGGUUGUAUACAAUGGUUGGGAUUGAGGAACUCAGCACGCCGAAAGGCCGGGUUUUUAACCACGUACGUGCUUAGGAUGCUGGCAUAAUGGCUUUAAUCGACCCGUCUUGAAACACGGACCAAGGAGUCUAACAUGCCUGCGAGUGUUUGGGUGGAAAACUCGAGCGCGUAAUGAAAGUGAAAGUUGAGAUCCCUGUCAUGGGGAGCAUCGACACCCGGACCAGACCUUUUGUGACGGUUCCGCGGUAGAGCAUGUAUGUUGGGACCCGAAAGAUGGUGAACUAUGCCUGAAUAGGGUGAAGCCAGAGGAAACUCUGGUGGAGGCUCGUAGCGAUUCUGACGUGCAAAUCGAUCGUCAAAUUUGGGUAUAGGGGCGAAAGACUAAUCGAACCAUCUAGUAGCUGGUUCCUGC